rnacentral:rRNA from 1 species
CAGUAGCCGCGGUAAUACAGAGGGUGCGAGCGUUAAUCGGAUUUACUGGGCGUAAAGCGUGCGUAGGCGGCUUCUUAAGUCGGAUGUGAAAUCCCUGAGCUUAACUUAGGAAUUGCAUUCGAUACUGGGAAGCUAGAGUAUGGGAGAGGAUGGUAGAAUUCCAGGUGUAGCGGUGAAAUGCGUAGAGAUCUGGAGGAAUACCGAUGGCGAAGGCAGCCAUCUGGCCUAAUACUGACGCUGAGGUAAGAAAGCAUGGGGAGCAAACAGGAUUAGAGACCCGCGUAGUCCCUGUCUCUUAUAC